GUGGGGAAUAUUGGACAAUGGGGGGAACCCUGAUCCAGCCAUGCCGCGUGUGUGAAGAAGGCCUUUUGGUUGUAAAGCACUUUAAGCGAGGAGGAGGCUACCGAGAUUAAUACUCUUGGAUAGUGGACGUUACUCGCAGAAUAAGCACCGGCUAACUCUGUGCCAGCAGCCGCGGUAAUACAGAGGGUGCAAGCGUUAAUCGGAUUUACUGGGCGUAAAGCGUGCGUAGGCGGCUUUUUAAGUCGGAUGUGAAAUCCCCGAGCUUAACUUGGGAAUUGCAUUCGAUACUGGGAAGCUAGAGUAUGGGAGAGGAUGGUAGAAUUCCAGGUGUAGCGGUGAAAUGCGUAGAGAUCUGGAGGAAUACCGAUGGCGAAGGCAGCCAUCUGGCCUAAUACUGACGCUGAGGCACGAAAGCAUGGGGAGCAAACAGGAUUAGAUACCCUUGUAGUCC
rnacentral:rRNA from 1 species